UGUCGGAGUGCCCCAUGGGGCUGAGACCGUUCAUUCGGGAUCCGUUGAACCUGAUCAGGCUAAUACCUGCGAAGGGAACAAGCGA
rnacentral:ncRNA from 1 species